AAUGCACCAAUUUGUAAGUCGCUCUGGAUAAGAGCAUCUGCUAAAUUACGUAAA
rfam:Salmo salar isolate Sally breed double haploid chromosome ssa17, whole genome shotgun sequence.